CACGCAGGCGGUCUGCUAAGUUCGGAGUGACAGUCACCAGCUUAACUGGUGAAGGACUUUGAAAACUGGCGGACUUGAGAGCGAGAGAGGGACAUGGAAUUUCGGGUGGAGCAGUGAAAUGCGUAGAUAUCCGGAGGAAUACCAAAGGCGAAGGCAGUGUCCUGGCUCGUAUCUGACGCUCAGGUGCGAAAGCUAGGGGAGCGAACGGGAUUAGAUACCCCGGUAGUCCUAGCCGUAAACGAUGACCACUAGGCGUGGGAGGUAUCGACCCCUUCCGUGCCGCAGUUAACACAGUAAGUGGUCCGCCUGGGGAGUACGGUCGCAAGACUAAAA
rnacentral:rRNA from 1 species